GACGAACGCUGGCGGCGUGCUUAACACAUGCAAGUCGAACGGAGUGGCGAACGGGUGAGUAACACGUGGGUGAUCUGCCUUGCACUUCGGGAUAAGCUUGGGAUACUGGGUCUAAUACCGGAUAGUGCAAGAUGAGCUCGCGGCCUAUCAGCUUGUUGGUGGGGUAAUGGCCUACCAAGGCGUCGAAGGGUUGCCGGCCUGAGAGGGUGUACGGCCACAUUGCGAGUGCGAUAGUGGCCAGACUCCUACGUGAGGCAGCAGCGGGGAAUAUUGCCCAAGCGCAGCCUGCCUGGUGGAUGGAGGUCCCGGUGGAGAUCAAGUCCUUUGGCUUGUAUUCUCCUUUCGAUAGGGACGCGGGACCUGUAUGAUAAGCACCGGCUAACUACGUGCCAGCCGCCGCGGUAAUUC
rnacentral:rRNA from 1 species